UACGAAGGGGGCUAGCGUUGCUCGGAAUCACUGGGCGUAAAGGGCGCGUAGGCGGUUUGUCGCGUCGAAUGUGAAAACCCGGGGCUCAACUCCGGACCUGCAUUCGAUACGGGCAGACUAGAGUUCGGUAGGGGAGACUGGAAUUCCUGGUGUAGCGGUGAAAUGCGCAGAUAUCAGGAGGAACACCGGUGGCGAAGGCGGGUCUCUGGGCCGAUACUGACGCUGAGGAGCGAAAGCGUGGGGAGCGAACAGG
rnacentral:rRNA from 1 species